CAGCGAGCUCACCCUCGUCAGGCAACGCAGCUUCGAGUUCCCGCGCGGACUGGGUAGCGACCUCAGGAUCCUUGAGUCGCUCCAGGUUAUACCGCUGCGGGCGACGGUACCGGAUCUUGUUGACCUCGGACAGGCGUUCACGCAGAAAAAAGAAUUAUCAAUUCGACAAAUUUCUGCUAUCAUUUCGAUAAAUAAAAUUAUCGGUUGGCAACCAAUAAUUUAUUUUAUCAAAUUUGAUAAGUUUUCUUAUCGGUUUGAUAAUAAUUAUUUAUCAAUUUGACAAAAUAAUUUAUCGAUUUGAUAAUCGUGAUUGAAGAAACGUCAAAACAAAAGUAAUCAAAUCGAUACAAAUAUUUAUCAUUUUGAUAAAUUAUUUUAUCAAAACAAUAAAAGGUUUUUGUUAAAAUGAUAAUUUUAUUUAUCGCCAUUUUACAGGUGAUUAUUUCGUAUUUUUUUAAUGUUUCAAAUUAAACAAAUGACGUAUUGCCAAAAUUGCUUUAUUUAUUUACAUAAAUCCAAGGUUUUACUGUGGGAAUAAAUAGGUUUAGCACCAACCGCAUCCUCGCAUUUCUAUGAUGUCGUUGACCUUUUAUGCUGGGCUCCGUACUUGGUAAAUUAUGACUCUUCCGCCUUCCGUAUACGUAUAUUGGACCAUUCGGCUGGAAACUCCGCAAACGCACCAGACUCUCCCGAUACCGGAUGUGUCGUGUUGUCGUGUUCACCUGAAAUAAAUUCAAUGGUUAGCAAGAUAAAUUUGUACUUUGUCAAAAGAUCCUGAGCGCCAUGGGUUCCUACGCAGAUAUGACCUUUGGAAAAGAAUUGUGCGGCGGCUACUGUUUGGGUUGCAUAAAACAGUUUUGGUCACCGCCGGACUUGGUCGUCGUUCCCGGUUUACUGGCGUAGGGAAUUUUGUUGUUUUCCGGGUGCUCAAUAAAUUCCGACCUGAUUCUGCUGCCUUC